AUUGAACGCUGGCGGCAUGCUUUACACAUGCAAGUCGAACGGCAGCGCGGGGGCAACCCUGGCGGCGAGUGGCGAACGGGUGAGUAAUGCAUCGGAACGUAUCCUGUAAUGGGGGAUAACGUAGCGAAAGUUACGCUAAUACCGCAUACGCUCGAGAGAGGAAAGUGGGGGGUCGCAAGACCUCACGUUAUAGGAGCGGCCGAUGUCCGAUUAGCUAGUUGGUGGGGUAAAGGCCUACCAAGGCGACGAUCGGUAGCUGGUCUGAGAGGAUGAUCAGCCACACUGGGACUGAGACACGGCCCAGACUCCUACGGGAGGCAGCAGUGGGGAAUUUUGGACAAUGGGCGAAAGCCUGAUCCAGCCAUGCCGCGUGCGGGAAGAAGGCCU
rnacentral:rRNA from 1 species